rnacentral:rRNA from 1 species
AACGAACGCUGGCGGCAUGCCUAACACAUGCAAGUCGAACGAGACCUUCGGGUCUAGUGGCGCACGGGUGCGUAACGCGUGGGAACCUGCCCUUAGGUUCGGAAUAACUGCCCGAAGGGGGUGCUAAUACCGGAUAAUGUCUUCGGACCAAAGAUUUAUCGCCUUUGGAUGGGCCUGCGUUGGAUUAGCUAGUUGGUAGGGUAAAAGCCUACCAAGGCGACGAUCCAUAGCUGGUCUGAGAGGAUGAUCAGCCACACUGGGACUGAGACACGGCCCAGACUCCUACGGGAGGCAGCAGUGGGGAAUAUUGGACAAUGGGCGAAAGCAUGAGCCAGCAAGGCCGCGUGAGUGAUGAAGGCCUUAGGGUUGUAAAGCUCUUUUACCCGGGAUGAUAAUGACAGUACCGGGAGAAUAAGCUCCGGCUAACUCCGUG